GACGAACGCUGGCGGCGUGCCUAAUACAUGCAAGUAGAACGCUGAAGGAGGAGCUUGCUUCUCUGGAUGAGUUGCGAACGGGUGAGUAACGCGUAGGUAACCUGCCUGGUAGCGGGGGAUAACUAUUGGAAACGAUAGCUAAUACCGCAUAAGAGUAGAUGUUGCAUGACAUUUGCUUAAAAGGUGCAAUUGCAUCACUACCAGAUGGACCUGCGUUGUAUUAGCUAGUUGGUGGGGUAACGGCUCACCAAGGCGACGAUACAUAGCCGACCUGAGAGGGUGAUCGGCCACACUGGGACUGAGACACGGCCCAGACUCCUACGGGAGGCAGCAGUAGGGAAUCUUCGGCAAUGGACGGAAGUCUGACCGAGCAACGCCGCGUGAGUGAAGAAGGGUUUCGGAUCGUAAAGCUCUGUUGUAAGAGAAGAACAAGUGUGAGAGUGGAAAGUUCACACUGUGACGGUAUCUUACCAGAAAGGGACGGCUAACUACGUG
rnacentral:rRNA from 1 species